rnacentral:rRNA from 1 species
GACGAACGCUGGCGGCGUGCCUAAUACAUGCAAGUCGAGCGCAGGAAACUGACGGAACUCUUCGGAGGGAAGGCAGUGGAAUGAGCGGCGGACGGGUGAGUAACACGUAAGGAACCUGCCUCAAGGAUUGGGAUAACUCCGAGAAAUCGGAGCUAAUACCGGAUAGUUCAACGGACCGCAUGGUCCGCUGAUGAAAGGCGCUCCGGCGUCACCUUGAGAUGGCCUUGCGGUGCAUUAGCUAGUUGGCGGGGUAACGGCCGACCAAGGCGACGAUGGAUAGCCGACCGGAGAGGGUGAUCGGCCACACUGGGACUGGGACACGGCCCAGACUCCUACGGGAGGCAGCAGUAGGGAAUCUUCCACAAUGGACGAAAGUCUGAUGGAGCAACGCCGCGUGAGUGAUGAAGGUUUUCGGAUCGUAAAACUCUGUCGUAAGGGAAGAACACGUACGAGAGGGAAUGCUCGUACCUUGACGGUACCUUACGAGAAAGCCACGGCUAACUACGUGCCAGCCGCCGCGGUAAAAC